rnacentral:tRNA from 1 species
CUGACUCUCUUCUCUGACUCUCAGUCCCUCCUGGAUUUGGUUGCCCAUUUGGGAAGGUUGAAAGUGUUAAUCAUUAAGUCAUGUCCAGCUCUUUCCAACCCCAUGGACCAUAGUCCACCAGGCUCCUCUGUCCAUGGAAUUCUCUAGGCAAGAAUACUGGAGGUGGUAGCCAUUCCCUUCUCCAGGGGAUCUUCCUGACUUGAGGAUUGAACCCAGGUCUCCUGCAUUGCGGGCAGAUUCUUUACUAUCUGAGCCACCAGGAAAGCAUUAUUUUAUUACUAUUGAAAGUCCACCACCGUGGGGAUUCUGUUUCCCACAUCUGGAUCCACACAGCCCGGGGCAGCCCAGGAACCCAGGCGCAGGCCCAGGGCACUGAGCUAGGCCCAAUGCGGGAUGCCGAAGGUGAAGAGAGCUGGUUCCCACCACUGCAGGCUUUAGAAAGGAGCUGGGAAGGGAAAAGCCACAGCUUUGAGAUCACUGACCACGUCCAGCAGGAAAUCAUGAGUUCCAAAAUUGAGUGUAGAAUGUGAUUUCUUAAAGCACCAGAACAGCAUUGAGCCAAACAGGAGAACUUCCAAGACCAUCCACACCUCUCCCUUCACCUCCUCUGGGAAGUUCUAUCUGCUGUGGCGAGCCUGGCUCAAGGGUUCAAUUGUACAUUCAAAAUGUUAUGAUUCAGAAAUCGUAGGCAUCUAGGUAGGUGUGUGAAUCAGACAUAAAGGUGGCUCCUUAAUGACAAGGUUACCAGCCUCGCACCCCUGAAAAUGAACUCGGCCUGCAAACGCCCCUUGGGACAGGCAGAAGCAGAAGCUGAACUCUGGACCGCUGGCAGAGGGUGAUGGGAAGCCCAGAGUCUUCCUCUGUGGAUGGGAUCUGCCGGAAUCGCGCUGAGGGCAAGCGUUCCAGAGAACGUUCUCCGAUGUGGCACCGAUAGCAUUGAGGUUUCCUGUCGACGGCGGUUCCCCCCGCAUCUGUUCUAGGAAAAGCACGCGAAGCAGCUGCUUAUUUUCAAUCUGAUCAGGCUCCCCCGGCACUUCUCAAUUUCAGAGAGACGGUUUUUUCCACAGAACCUGGGUUUUCCAGUGGCGUCUAACUUUGCGGUCCUUGAUACACUUUCUGCUGUUGAUGAUAGAAAAAACAGGUGAACUGCUAAGUUUCACUCCAGCUGUCCACUGACUCUUUUUACCCUCAGUAAACUAAAUCAGCUCCCUGUAUUCCUUCCUAGAACAAAGGCGAUCAGCUCCUUUCGAACAAGAGGUGAUAAGCAAUGCAUUCUCCUUUGCCAUAGACACUCACCCAUUUCACCCGGAAACUUCUGUGCAGUUGACUCAGGAAAAAUAGAUUCCCUUUCUCCUAAAUGAGUCCUGAGUUUCACAAGUCUCCUGUCGGAAGUAGCCCAGUUAGCCAGCAUUUCUCUCUGUGGUGCUGAAAACCG